rnacentral:rRNA from 1 species
UACGAGGGCCCCGAGCGUUAUCCGGAUUUAUUGGGCGUAAAGGGUGCGUAGGGGGGAUGGUUAGUCCGUUGUUAAAUCCCACGGCUCAACCGUGGAACCGCGACGGAAACGGCCACCCUUGAGGGCGUCAGAGGCGCAUGGAACGUACGGUGGAGGGGUGAAAUCCGUUGAUAUCGUACGGAACACCAAAGGCGAAGGCAGUGCGCUGGGACGUCCCUGACCCUGAGGCACGAAAGCGUGGGGAGCGAAUGGG